GUGGCUGUGUAUUAUGCUGGAACUGGAGUUAAGGACAAUUGUGAGCCACCAUGUGGGUGUACAGGGGAUCGAACCUGUGUCCUCUACAAGAGCAAGUGUUCUUGACAACUGAGCUAUUCCUCCAGCCCCUAUUUACUUAAUUUUUUACCGUGCUUAGUUCCUGCUUUGUUGUUAGAGCUAGUAACAGCUAUUCCCCAAGCCUCUCAGCUACAGACUUUGCUUGAGCUGAAAAAAAAAGAAAAGAAAAGGAAAGAAGAGAAGAGAAGAGAAGAGAAGAGAAGAGAAGAGAAGAGAAGAGAAGAGAAGAGAAAAGAAAAGAAAAGAAAAGAAAAGAAAAGAAAAGAAAAGAAAAGAAAAAGUAAGUUGGGUAUGGCGGCAGAUGCUUACACGAUGCCGGCACUUGGACUAGAGAUGCUGUGUCAACAAACAGAUAAGUACCCCAGGUCUGAUGACUCAGAUCUAUAAUUUCAGCUACUCAGUAGUCUGAGGCAAGAGGAUAAAGAUAAUUUGCUGCCUUGGGUGACUGAGUAAGACCUUGUUUCAAAACCCUGUGGAGGCCAGGGUUGACCAAGUGCUUGCCAUGCAACCAAGAAGACCUGAGUUUGACUUUACCCUGGCACCCAAGUACAGAGCCACCAUGGUGAGCUGUGCUGGUAAUAUUCGAUGCUGGGGAAGCAGCGACAGGAGGAGCCCUGGUACUCACAGGCCAGCCAGAGCAGCCGGAUCAGUGAGCUGGUCCCAAGGAGAGACCUUGUCUUAACAACCAAGACGGUGAUCUUCUGAAUAACACCAGCCAACGCUGACCUCUUGCUUGACCGGCGUUGAACACAUGUGCGUCCACACUUGCACAUAUAUACACGAAAACAUACAAGCACACACACAGAAACACCAAACGAACAGGUCUGGAAUUAUAGAGCAAAGCAGCAAAGCCCUCGCCUAGCCUGCUAGCUCAGCCUGGGUUCAAUCCCUAGAAACUCAGAAAUGAAUGAAGUGACUAUUAAGCACACCGUAGAGCCACCCUAAACAAUUUGCCAUUGGUUCUGGAGAGAUGGCUCAGGGGUUAAGAGCACUGGCUGCUCUUGCAGAGCACCUGGGUUCUAUUUCCAGCAACCACACAGUGGCGCACAACCAUGUUAACUGUAGUUGCAGGAGAUCCAACGCCCUCUUCUGGCUCUACAAGAACUGUCACAUGUGAUAGAAACAUAGAAACACAUGCAGGCAAAACACACACACAUAAAAUAAAAAUGAGAGAUGGAGGGAGGGAAAGAGAGAGAGAGACAAGGGGGGAGGAAAUACACUCUUUAAAGUGGGUGGAGCUGCAGAAAGUCCACUCCUCUUACACACACACACACACACACACACACACACACACACACACACACACACAUACACACCCCUCCGCCCCCAAAGCUGUAUUAAGUCCUUUUCAAUGGAGAACCUGGGAAAGAAUAUAACAACUCCUUUAAAAGCUGGCCCGCCCUGCAGUCGAAGCCAAGCUGUAAAACUGUUUGGGAAGUAGAAAGGUUAGUAAAGAGCGCGAUCCUAUGACCAGUCAGGCCGAUCCGCUGGGAGGGUGUUUGGAAUGGUCUCAGUGCUAGCUGCUGAGGAAACCAGCGUUUGGAAACAAUAACAUCAUGGGACUUUUUAUAUGGCCCGCUGGCAUUGUGAUGCAAUUUGAGCGUUUUAGCAUUUUCCCAACUUUCUGUUCUCACCACAGGAAAAGUGGGGACUGGAGGAGUCGGGUGCCUCAUCACCAGUACUUCUCUCAGACAAAUUAUAAACAGAGAGUUAAAGAACUCCUCUGCUACAGCCAGGAAACAAAGCAGCCUUCAAACGCCUCACAUGUCAAGAUGCCCUCGUUCCCAAAGCACUGCAGCUGUGUGUAACCCCAAAGGUCUCAGAGACAAAGGAGAAACAGAAAAGGGGGAGAAAGGGCUGCAGAGCCUACAGAGAUGCAGCCAGAUAGCAUCGGGUUUACAUCUAAAGUUCUACACCUGGGCAUCAACUCCACAUGCUGCAAGUAGUCUCCAGCCACAGGAAGUCAAGACACAGGAAGUGCAAAGCCAGGUCCUACACUUACCUUCCUGGUGUCUUUAGCAAGGACUGCUGUAUCUCUGUGCUCAUUUCUCCUGAACUGGUUGACCCCUACGUCCCUAAAUGAUGUUUGGAGCAGAGGCAGGCUUUCACUAUGGAGUCUUGGCUAGCCUGGAACACACAGAGAUGUAUCUUCCCCUGCUGGGAUUAAAGGCCUAGCUCACACUAGCCAGAAUUUUACAGAAGAAGAAGGAGGAGGAGGAGGAGGAGGAGGAGGAGAAGGAGGAGAAGGAGAGGAGAAAGAAGAAGAAGAAGAAGAAGAAGAAGAAGAAGAAGAAGAAGAAGAAGAAGAAGAAGGAAGAAGAAGAAAGAAGAAGAAAAGAAGAAGAAAAGAAGAAGAAGAAAACGGAAAUUUUUAUUUGGACAAAAACUUAGGCCUUGGCAGCAUGGGGGCUCAAGCCUGGAUUCCCAAUUCUCUGAAGGCUGAUGCAGGAGGAUUAAUGUGAGUUUGAUGCCUGCGUGGUAUAGUAUGAGACAGUAUAAAGAAAGACCCCCCCCCCCCCCAAAUAAAAACCACAAGGCCUUCUCCA
rnacentral:lncRNA from 1 species